AGAGUGCUGUAUUGGUGUGCUGACUCUUCUGGAGAGUGAUUUCUAAAUAAUCACUGAACAUUCCCUCUGCCAAAUCUAGGCUUAAAUGCAAAAAACAUGUACUUGAGAAUCCUAGGAAGAACUUGAGAUGUCAAUAGAAGAAAAAGGUUCCUUUAUGCUGGGUACUUGUGAGUGUAUGCUGUUUUUUGGUUCACUGCGCUGUAUAGUCUUUCCUGUAGCUGAGAAAUUCUUUGGUCUCCAAAGGGCAAAGAAUCUUCUUGCGACUUCAGUGCGAAGGUCCUUCUCAACAUGGAUUUCUUUUUUUUGUUUAUUUUGGGGGGAAACAAAAGUGCUGUAUACAGAAGAACAUCUUAAAUUUGAGGAAACAGAGGCACAGUGCAUGGAAGCAACCAACAACGGAUAGCAGGCAACAUAAACAGCUGAAAGGAGAACAAAAGCUUCCAGUGUCCCAUGUGUGUGAUCUCAACAUUGAGUCAAUCUGGCAACUGCUGAGGAAGAACGUUCCAGAGCCCUGUAAUGAAGUUUCCCGCUUGAAACACGUCACCGUCUUUUUCCAAGAUAUGGGAGAUGUUGAACUGAGUGACUAAUGUAAAGGAUUGAAAGUGACAGGAAACUUAAGAAAGGAUAUGUGAACAACCAAAUAGUGAAAUACUAACAUAAGUCAUAAACUGUAGCAUUUUUUCUUUUAACCUACUAAAAUGACAAAAUCAUAGAAUUAAGAAACCUAAGUAAACCAAUUAUAUACUGUAUUGAAAUUGAGCUGGCUUUGAAUACAAAAAAAAUAAAGUGUAUAGUGGUCUCUAAUGAGAUAAAUGUUACAAAUUUAAAUUAUUUGUGGGAAGAUAUAUCUAUAAUUUCUUAAUAAGUAUUCAAAUAAAUAAAAUACUCCACCACCCCCUCUUCCCUCCUUGCCUUUCCCUUCCCUGUCUCAUCUGUGCAGUUCCCACAAAUAGGUGCAAACUCUCAAUAGCAUCUGGUUGCUGUAAAUGUAGAUGAAAAUCAGAUAAUGAAGUAUCAAUCUCCAGACUUCUGAGCAUUGGUAAGAACAAUAGGGUUGGCCUUCCAAGGAAUGUGAUCCUGAAAUUAUAGAUGUAUAAUAAUAUUGGUAUUUUGCUUGUGUAAGGAUGGAGCCAGGAACAAUUUUUUUUUACUGUAUUUCAGAGAAUUUCGUAUUGUUUAUGUACUUCAAGCUUGCAUUUAGUCUGUAUUGCUGAUGUUGAUCUACAAGGAGGCUUACUUUACAGGAUGGAUCCAAGUGAAAUAUAUGAGCUCUGCUGUUGAGUUGUAUGUUGUAUGGAGUUGUAUGCAUGUUAUUGUGUUUUGCAAAAAAACAAACCCUUAUUUG
rnacentral:lncRNA from 7 species